AAAAGCGCCUUAAUCUUCCAAUCAGAUGAAAGAGUUCAGAAUAAUUUCCGGAUACAAUUUCUAUUUGUUAGCGUCAUUACUUGGGUCACUUAUCAGGUUAUACAUCGAGAAUGGGACGCCGAAAGUCAAAGAGGAAGCCACCUCCCCAAAAGAAACUGACGGGUAACUUGGACACCCAAUUCACCUGUCCCUUUUGUAACCACGAGAAGUCCUGUGAUGUCAAAAUGGAACGCACUCGAAACACAGGGAUAAUAUCGUGCACCGUCUGCUUGGAAGAAUUCCAGACUCCCAUUACUUGUAUCCUUUUGAUUCUUUGAUUGGAUCACUAUAUUCACUUAUCUACACACCAUAUAGCUCACAGAUUGGCUUGUACAUUUGUAAAUAAAUAUAUAUAUAUAUAUAUAUAUA